rnacentral:rRNA from 1 species
GGAAUAUUGGACAAUGGGCGAAAGCCUGAUCCAGCAAUGCCGCGUGUGUGAAGAAGGCCUGCGGGUUGUAAAGCACUUUCAGUAGAGAAGAAAAGCCUACGGUUAAUACCCGUGAGUCUUGACGUAACCUACAGACGAAGCACCGGCUCACUCCGUGCCAGCAGCCGCGGUAAUACGGAGGGUGCAAGCGUUAAUCGGAAUUACUGGGCGUAAAGCGCACGUAGGCGGUAUGUUAAGUUGGAUGUGAAAGCCCCGGGCUCAACCUGGGAAUUGCAUUCAAAACUGGCAUGCUAGAGUAUGUGAGAGGGGGGUAGAAUUCCAAGUGUAGCGGUGAAAUGCGUAGAGAUUUGGAGGAAUACCAGUGGCGAAGGCGGCCCCCUGGCACAAUACUGACGCUCAGGUGCGAAAGCGUGGGGAGCAAAC